rnacentral:lncRNA from 1 species
CAAUUGGUAUAGUGCUUGCCUCACAUGUACAAAGCCCUGGAUUCAAUCUUCAGCACCACACAAAGGGGAGGGGAAUGUUGACAGCACCAAGAAUGGAGCUGUGUUGGUUUGAUUUGAACAUUAUAUAUUAUAUUUUUCUCAUUUUGUACCUACUUGCUAAUUUCUUAGCAGAUACCAAGCAUUGUAAAUUUCACCUUGUCAAGUACUGAAUGUUUUUGUACUCCUAUAAAUAAUCAUGAUUUUUGUUUGGGGACACAGUUGAGCUACUUGGAAAUAAUUUUUAUCUUUUGGGUCUUGCUUUUAAUAUUUUUUGAUGGUUCCAUAACAAAGUUCAGUCUAGGUCUAAUUAUUCUUCACUAUUCUUUUUUUCUCCUGAGUGCUUGCUGAAUGAUGAGAUUUACAGUCUGGCAUCUGGGGACAGUCUAUAUUCAGCUUUGGAAAUAGCUGGUGUCCAGUUCUGUAUGAAUGUUAGACACCGCUAAUCCUUUCAAAUGUUUUUUUCCCCCUCUAGUAGUUUUCUCAUACAUGUUAAUCAGUAUUCUGAAGACACAAGAGAGACCUGCAAGUCUCAAGGGUUUCCUCUCUAUGCCGGAAUCUUCUCUCCAUGUCUCUUGUUUUCUGAACUCCAGCUGCCUUGGUCUCCCUGGACUGUCAGCUCCAUCUGUUCAUGUCAGGGCCACCAUCCAGCCCUAUUGGUUCCAUCCCUGAGCCAUGACCUGGAAACUCAAGUGAGCUGGGGCAGUUGAAGUGUUUGCCUACUUUGUAGGCUUUCUGACUUUCAGGGAUCAUUGUCCUUCAUCGCCCGAUGGUCAGUUUCUUUAAAAUUGCCAUUGCAUGUAUCUUGAAUGGUUUUAACUUUGUUUUUCAGGUAGGAGUUUACUAGUCAACGUUCUCCAGAGGAAUAGAACCAGUAGAAUAUAUGUAUAUAUUCUAUGAAAUUUCUUAUAAGAACUUGGCUCUCAAGAUUAUGGAAACUGAGAAAUCCCACAGUCUGCCAUCUGCAAACUGGAGAUCCAGGAAAACCAGUGCUAUAAAUUC